ACUGAGUCGCUGUUACGCUGGUUAUUCAGACGUUCGUUCGGUGGUCCCUUUUUGGAAUGUGUGACGCAAGAUGCUCUAUUUACCGAACGACUCAUUUCUAUCACCGAUCGAUUAUCAUUGCCGCAACUUCGCGGAAGGAAGGAAUCGUGGAGUCACCAGGACGUAACAA